rnacentral:lncRNA from 1 species
UUAAAUACCUCAUCUGGUGAUCUGAAAUGCUAUGUUGUUUUCUCCACUCAAAUGUGGAUUUAUUUUUAAGACUUAAAGUAUUCUUCUGCUCUAAUCGUAUUUUCAAAUAACACAUCCAUGAAACAGAUCUUUCAAGUUUGAGAAUAUGAUGCUUAUUCUAAUAAGAAAUCAGAGGUACUCCUGAAGCACUCCUGGAUCAUUUUGAAAUGUUACUCUAAGAGCAUUUAGACUACUUGCAGGGAAUGUGAUUUUUCAAAGAGAAAAUAUAGAAGAUAUAUUAAAUAAAACUGGUUUCUCGUUUUGGACAUAUUACUCAAGCUUUUCUCCUUCCUUCUCCCUCCAGAAUUUCAGGCUUUGAUGUUCACACAGUAAAUUUAAAUAACAGCUUACAUCUCUGUGAAUACUUGAAGCUCCUGGAGAAUACACUUUUACCCUGCAAUACAUCCAGAUUGAAGAAAAACAAUAUGAAUUCAACAGGAAUUUCUGUCUCAUCUUUCACACUAAGCUGUCUAACUCUCACUACAAGCCAGAGCUACAGGCUCAGACCACUCAUUAAUCUCACUAUCACCAGGGAUGGGCUGGAAGAACGGCAGCUGGCUGUGUUGCUUGGUGCUGAAAGGCUAGACUUGGAAAAUCGCAAGGCCUUCAAAGUAGUCUUCCACAAAGCAAUUAAGCAAGCUGAAGACAUUUGGUAG